rnacentral:rRNA from 1 species
GACGAACGCUGGCGGCGUGCUUAACACAUGCAAGUCGAACGGAAAGGCCCUGCUUGCAGGGUACUCUAGUGGCGAAAGGGGGAGUAACACGUGGGUGUACUGCCCUGCACUUUGGGGUAAGCCUGGGAAACUGGGUCUAAUAUCGGAUAGGAGCCCUUUUUAUUGUUAUGGUUGGAAAGUUUUUUCGGUGUAGGAUGAGCUCGCGGCCUAUCAGCUUGUUGGUGGGGUAAUGGCCUACCAAGGCGGCGACGGGUAGCCGGCCUGAGAGGGUGGACGGCCACAUUGGGACUGAGAUACGGCCCAGACUCCUACGGGAGGCAGCAGUGGGGAAUAUUGCACAAUGGGCGCAAGCCUGAUGCAGCGACGCCGCGUGGGGGAUGACGGCCUUCGGGUUGUAAACUCCUUUCGCUAGGGACGAAGCUUUUUGUGACGGUACCGAGAUAAGAAGCACCGGCUAACUACGU